AACGCGAAGAACCUUACCCAGAUUUGAAAUACAGGGGAAUACAGCAGAAAUGUUGUAGUCCGCAAGGACCGCUGUACAGGUGCUGCAUGGCUGUCGUCAGCUCGUGCCGUGAGGUGUUGGGUUAAGUCCCGCAACGAGCGCAACCCUUAUCAUUAGUUGCCAACACGCGAGGUGGGGACUCUAAUGAGACUGCCUGGGUUAACCAGGAGGAAGGUGAGGAUGACGUCAAGUCCGCAUGGCCUUUAUAUCUGGGGCUACACACGUGCUACAAUGGUCGGUACAGAAGGCAGCAAGACCGCAAGGUGGAGCAAAUCCGUAAAGCCGAUCUCAGUUCAGAUUGUAGUCUGCAACUCGACUACAUGAAGCUGGAAUUGCUAGUAAUGACGUGUCAGCAACAACGUCGUGAAUACGUUCCCGGGCCUUGUACACACCGGCUAC
rnacentral:rRNA from 1 species